UACAGAGGUGGCAAGCGUUGUUCGGAAUUAUUGGGCGUAAAGGGCGCGUAGGCGGCCAUGCGUGUCUUCCGUGAAAUCCCUCGGCUUAACCGAGGACGUGCGGAAGAAACUGCAAGGCUCGAGUCCGGAAGAGGGGGGCGGAAUUCCCAGUGUAGCGGUGAAAUGCGUAGAUAUUGGGAGGAACACCAGUGGCGAAGGCGGUCCCCUGGGCCGGAACUGACGCUGAGGCGCGAAAGCGUGGGUAGCAAACGGG
rnacentral:rRNA from 1 species